rnacentral:misc_RNA from 1 species
GGUUUAUUUUCCCUAGGCAAUCGGUAAGCAGCUUUUCUUUCAGAAGUGAUGACAUUUUAUUUCUAAUUGCAUCUUGAGCAUCAUUAUUUUACUGUAUUUUUGUUAUGGGUUUGUACUUGAAAAUAUGUUUUCAGCAUUCAUGUGAUUCAAAAGCUUCAAGAAAGGACCUUUCUGAACUAUAAUAGAUUAUAGGUUGUGUGGAGUUAUGCAAUGUUACCCCUAGACUAUCCUGCAAUAUGUUAUCUGGGAUGAUUGACCAUUGAGGUUUUUAGAUUUUUUUACCUUGCAUCAUAUAUAUACAUCUUACAAGUGGAUAGCAUGUUUCACUAGAUCCUAA